UCCGUGUUGACCACGGCAGUCCCGCUAGAGUCCCCGGCAUGACCCGAUGGCAACUAACGGUAAGGGUUUCGCUCGUUAAGGGACUUGACCCGACAUCUCACGACACGAGCUGACGACAGCCAUGCAGCACCUGUGCACGUUCCACCCUUUCGGGCGUAGCUCCUGUUUCCAAGAGCUAAUCCGUGCAUGUCAAACCCAGGUAAGGUUUUGCGCGUUGCUUCGAAUUGAACCACAUGCUCCACCGCUUGUGUGAGCCCCCGUCAAUUCCUUUGAGUUUCGGCCUUGCGACUGUACUCCCCAGGCGGAACACUUAAAACAUUUGCUCCAGGAGAGAAGACAUCGGGGUCUCCUCUCCCUAGUGUUCAUCGUUUACGGCUUGGACUAC
rnacentral:misc_RNA from 1 species